rnacentral:rRNA from 1 species
GACGAACGCUGGCGGCGUGGAUUAGGCAUGCAAGUCGAACGGUAGGAUACCUUCGGGUAUCUGAGAGUGGCGAACGGGUGAGUAACACGUAGGUGAUCUACCCUCAAGAUUGGGACAACCCAGGGAAACUUGGGCUAAUACCGGAUGAAAGCAGCAGUGAUGUUGUUUGAAAGGUGGCGUAAGCUGCCGUUUGGGGAUGAGCCUGCGCUCUAUUAGUUAGUUGGCGGGGUAAAGGCCCACCAAGGCGAUGAUAGAUAGGCGGCCUUAACGGGUGGUCGCCCACACUGGGAUUGAGAUACGGCCCAGACUCCUACGGGAGGCAGCAGUCGAGAAUAGUCUACAAUGGCCGAAAGGCUGAUAGUGCGACGCCGCGUGAACGAAGAAGCCCUUCGGGGUGUAAAGUUCUUUUAUAUGUGAGCAGUGCUUUCUAUGUGAACAGCAUGGGGAGAGAGAUAUUAGCAUAUGAAUAAGCAACGGCUAACUCCGUGCCAGCAC